AAAUUGAGUACCGGCUGGUCCAAGAGUG
rnacentral:piRNA from 1 species